UUUCGUUCCACCGGCACCACAUUUGCUCAGGCCAAUCUACACCCCAUGGCCAUUAAAAGUUAUUCAAAUCAUGACGCUGAACCCCACGGUUUAGGUUCUAGGGGGCGCCAAAGACAACCCUAAAAUCCACAUAUUUAAAAGUCUUAUAACUUUUUAUUUUUGUCCUCACUGGCCUCCAAGUUUUCUAGGAUGAUGCAAUGUCCAGCCAUCAACACAUUUGUGAAGGAAUUUUUACUCCCCAAAAGAGCGCCCCCCCAUGGCAGGAGAAAAAAGUCCAUUUUUUCACCUUUGUCCCCUAAGGUGAAAAUACAUAUUGUUGAGAUUCACGCCUAUACGCUUUGUCAUAUUGACACAAAAUUUGACAAUCACGUGCCUUGCCUGGUAUCAUUUUUUUUCAGCACAACCUCACCUGUGCGAAUUUACAGUUAUUUUAUCAUGUUGACAUACUGAAUUUACACAAUGGACCCAAAUUCACACACAAAACAUGAAAACCUGCAAAAACAUGCUAUUUACAUAUUUGACAAGAAUGCAGAGGCUCCUUUUGCCCCUGAAAAAAAUCAAAUUUCAAACACAACUUGACUGCUCAUUUCUCCAAAAGACAACCAUGAAGCUCCAUCCAAACCUGAAGCAGGCAGUUGGUGCAUGUGUACAGUAACCUGAGGGGAGUGAGGUGAGUGCUUCUGAGGAGAACAUGAGCAGUGAAGAUUCACCUUGGAGCUAGAACAGAGACAUGCACAUGAUUAUACAGGGGCAGGGGCUCAAGUUUUUUCCAGUCGUUUAUACAAUAUGGAAAUUAAUGUGAAAUUAAAACACAAAGUAUUAAUAGAAAGGUAAUGACUGUCCUAUGUAGGUGACAGUGAUAUCCAAUAUGCUAGGCACUCACGAGGCUGGCUGUGGCAAGUGUAAGUGAAAGCAACACGCACUGGCAGGAAGAACAGCAAACGCCGAUGAAGGAAAAGGGUCUUUGCAGUGAUGGGCGUUACCAGAGAGGGCGAUGGCCAGAGGACACAAAUGGGACGGGAAGGCAGCACGUUGGGGGGGGGGGGGGGCGCGACACGGCUCGGGCCCGCCAGUGCCCCAACGGGGUCCUAGUUUGUUAUUAGGGCCCGAGCGUAGCUGCUAAGCAGCUGCGAGAGCCCUCUUGUUCCUGCAUGUUUCCUUCUUUUGUUAUUAUUAUUAUUAGGGCCCGAGCCAGCUGCAGAGCAGCCGGGCGUAGGCCCUGUUAUUCCUGUAGGGGUUUUUCUUUGUUUCUUUCUUUCUUCUUUUUCCUCCCCUUUGAACUGGAAAAUGGCCCACUUCCCACUGGCGAAAACUCAGGAAAUUUGGCAGGACGACCGGGCCUGGUGAAAAAUUCGAUAUUCCGAAGUCGCCCAAACAAGAAAAUGCAAAAUGGCUCCAUAGCGCCCCCUAAGGUGAAAAUUCACACUAUUGACUGUCACGCCUGUACGCUUUGUCAAAAUGACACAAAAAUUGACACACACAUGUAUCUCAAUAAGAUCUACAAAAAAGUCAGUGCGGGCGUAUCUGUCAAAUGUACGGUUAAAGGGUUAUUUCGCAUUUUUUGCCGAUCCGCACACAUUGGAAUUUCGCUAACUCCUCCGAAGGCUUUCGUUCCACCGGCACCACAUUUGCUCAGGCCAAUCUACACCCCAUGGCCAUUAAAAGUUAUUCAAAUCAUGACGCUGCACCCCACGGUUUAGGUUCUAGGGGGCGCCAAAGAUAACCCUAAAAUCCACAUUUUUAAAAGUCUUAUAACUUUUUAUUUUUGCCCUCACUGGCCUCCAAGUUUUCUAGGAUGAUGCAAUGUCCAGCCAUCAACACAUUUGUGAAGGAAUUUUUACUCCCCAAAAGAGCGCCCCCCCAUGGCAGGAGAAAAAAGUCCAUUUUUUCUUGUCCCCUAAGGUGAAAAUACACAUUGUUGAGUGUCACGCCUGUACGCUUUGUCAAAAUGACACAAAAAUUGACACACACAUGUAUCUCAAUAAGAUCUACAAAAAAGUCCAUGCGCGCGUAUCUGUCUAAUGUACGGUUAAAGGGUUAUUCCGCAUUUUUUGCCGAUUCGCACACAUUGGAAUUUCGCUAACUCCUCCGAAGGCUUUCGUUCCACCGGCACCACAUUUGCUCAGGCCAAAUUACACCCCAUGGCCAUUAAAAGUUAUUCAAAUCAUGACGCUGCACCCCACGGUUUACGUUCUAGGGGGCGCCAAAGAUAACCCAAAAAUCCACAUUUUUAAAAGUCUUAUAACUUUUUAUUUUUGUCCUCACUGGCCUCCAAGUUUUCUAGGAUGAUGCAAUGUCCAGCCAUCAACACAUUUGUGAAGGAAUUUUUACUCCCUAAAAGAGCGCCCCCCCCAUGGCAGGAGAAAAAAGUCCAUUUUUUCUUGUCCCCUAAGGUGAAAAUACACAUUGUUGACUGUCACGCCUGUACGCUUUGGCAAAAUGACAGAAAAAUUGACACACACAUGUAUCUCAAUAAGAUCUACAAAAAAGUCCAUGAGCGCGUAUCUGUCAAAUGUACGGUUAAAGGGUUAUUCCACAUUUUUUGCCAAUUCGCACACAUUGGAAUUUCGCUAACUCCUCCUAAGGCUUUCGUCCCACUGACACCAAAUUUGCUCAGGCCAAUCUACACUCCAUGGCCAUUCAAAGUUGUAAAAAUCAUGACGCUGCACCCCACGGUUUACGUUUUAGGGGGCGCCAAAGAUGACCCAAAUAUACAUUACAGUAGACAAAGUAGUUUUGCCCACUGAGUGGCGCCAAAGGGACUUGUCUGUGGAGUCUGUGAGUCACUAUUGGCCGUUUUUGACUACUUUAGAUUUUACCUUUAUAUUUCCUCUUACAAAAUUUUUACCUUGCCUUGCCUGGUAUCAUUUUUUUCAGCACAACCUCACCUGUGUCAAUUUACAGUUAUUUUAUCAUUUUGACAUACUAUAUUUACACAUUGGACCCAAAUUCACACACAAAACAUAAAAUCCGAGUGGAAAAAAGUAACGUUUUUACUGUGAAAACCACAAAUAUGUGUGAUGAACUGUUUUUAAAACUUAAACUUCAAAUAAAAAUUGUAAACUUCAAAACAUAUGCAAAUUUUUAACAAAGAACAUAGUAAUUUACCUCUAUUUACAUCAAAAUGCAGGCAAUGGCCCAGGUGUUCUUUGUAAAAUUAUUUACAAAACACUGUAUAGUCUCACAAAUGUCACUUUUUAUUUAUGCCACUACAAAAAAACAUGAUGUAAAUGAUGCAUGAUGUAAAACAUGAUGUAAAAAACUUGUGUAGAUCCUCCUCUAUGUUAGUCCAUGUGUAAUUUUUCCAUAAUUCUUUGUUUUUUGCAGCAUUUUUGUUAGUGUAACUGCAGAUUGUGCUGACAGUGUCUAUGGCAAAAAAAAAAAAAAAACUGAAAAUGCCUCAACAUGAACCCCUGGUGGUCUCUGAGGGUGAAACCUGCUAACUGCUGCAGCUCUGUCAGCUUCAGUCUCCCAUGCAGAGCUCGGAGCGCAUGUGUGGCUCUGCACCCUUAGCAGCGUUGCUAACUCCUCAGUAUGGAAAGCCUGCUUCAUGUCAGAGUCUCUAAACUCCAGAAGAAGUCGAUAAAAGUCCCUUUCUUUCUAAAAAAAGUCGUUAGGGGGUCUGAAAAGUCAUUGAAUCUAACAACAAAGUCGCUAGGUUUGCAACUACGUGUCCCAGACUGCAUCCCUGCUGAGAGUCCCUCCCUCCCUUCUCAUAUUGCAGGAAGAACGUAAGCGCCCGCCCCUUGUCAAUCAGUCACCAUAUAAUUUUGGAUUGGUUGUUGUGGUGAAGUUUUCCACCAAUAGGAGAGAUGUUGUGGUGUGUUUUUUUUUUCCUUUGGCAAGCCUUUUCCGCCUGUAAGACCUGUCGCUAAUGUCUGCAUGCUAUGUUUUCCUGUCUCAUACAGCGCGAUCGAGCGCCGAACGUGAUCAAAAUAAGCAGAAAACAAGUAUCGCGGACAUAAUUUAUCAUAACUCUGGUUUUAUUUGGCCUAUCAACACAAUUUAAAAACUGGUAUAUAGGUUGAGGUCCUCACUUUUGAGAUAAGUUGAAACGGAGAGUCAACGAGGCUCCGUCUUGCAGCUACAUCCGGUUAAAUAUGUCAUGUGACUUGAACGCACACACACACACACACACACACACACACAGACACACACACGCACACACACACACUCAGAGUCUGGUUUUUAGCACCUGCAAAAACAUGCUAUUUACAUAUUUGACAAGAAUGCAGAGGCUCCUUUUGCCCCUGAAAAAAAUCUAAUUUCAAACACAACUUGACUGGUCAUUUCUCCAAAAGACAACCAUGAAGCUCCAUCCAAACCUGAAGCAGGCAGUUGGUGCAUGUGUACAGUAACCUGAGGGGAGUGAGGUGACUGCUUCUGAGGAGAACAUGAGCAGUGAAGAUUCACCUUAGAGCUAGAACAGAGACGUGCACAUGAUUAUACAGGGGCAGGGGCUCAAGUUUUUUCCAGUUGUUUAUACAAUAUGGAAAUUAAUGUGAAAUUAAAAAACAAAGUAUUAAUAGAAAGGUAAUGACUGUCCUGUGUAGGUGACAGUGAUAUCCAAUAGGCUAGGCACUCACGAGGCUGGCUGUGGCAAGUGUAAGUGAAAGCAACACGCACUGACAGGAAGAACAGCAAACGCCGAUGAAGGAAAAGGGUCUUUGCAGUGAUGGGCGUUACCAGAGAGGGCGAUGGCCAGAGGACACAAAUGGGACGGGGAGGCAGCGCGUUGGGGGGGGGGACGCGACACAGCUCGGGCCCGCCAGUGCCCCAACGGGGUCCUAGUGUUAUUAUUAUUAUUUUUCCUCCGCUUUAAACUGGAAAAUGGCCCACUUCCCACUGGCGAAAACUCAUGAAAUUUGGCAGGACGACCGGGCCUGGUGAAAAAUUCGAUAUUCUUAAGUCGCCCAAACAAUAAAAUGCAAAAUGGCUCCAUAGCGCCCCCUAAGGUGAAAAUUCACACUAUUGACUGUCAUGCCUGUACGCUUUGUCAAAAUGACACAAAAAUUGACACACACAUGUAUCUCAAUAAGAUCUACAAAAAAGUCAGUGCGGGCGUAUCUGUCAAAUGUACGGUUAAAGGGUUAUUUCGCAUUUUUUGCAGAUCCCCACACAUUGGAAUUUCGCUAACUCCUCUGAAGACUUUCGUUCCACCAGCACCACAUUUGCUCAGGCCAAUCUACACCCCAUGGCCAUUAAAAGUUGUACAAAUCAUGACGCUGCACCCCACGGUUUAGGUUCUAGGGGGCGCCAAAGAUAACCCAAAAAUCCACAUUCUUUAAAGUCUUAUAACUUUUUAUUUUUGUCCUCACUGGCCUCCAAGUUCUCUAGGAUGAUGCAAUGUCCAGCCAUCAACACAUUUGUAAAGGAACUUUUACUCCCCAAAAGAGCGCCCCCCCAUGGCAGGAGAAAAAAGUUAAUUUUUUCUUGUCCCCUAGGGUGAAAAUACACAUUGUUCAGUGUCACGCCUGUACGCUUUGUCAUAUUGACACAAAAUUUGACAAUCACGUGUAUCUCAAUAAGAUCUACGAAAAAGUCAAUGCGCACGUAUCUGUAAAAUGUACGGUUAAAGGGCUAUUUCGCAUUUUUUGCCGAUUCGCACACAUUGGAAUGUGGCUAACUCCUCCUAAAGCUUUCGUCCCAUCGGCACCAAAUUUGCUCAGGCCAAUCUACACCCCAUGUCCAUUCAAAGUUGUACAAAUCAUGACGCUGCACUCCACGGUUUACGUUCAAGGGGGCGCCAAAUAUCCACAAUUUCAAAAGUCUUAUAACUUUUUGUUUUUGUCCUCACUGGCCUCCAAGUUUUCUAGGAUAAUGCAAUGUUCAGCCAUCAACACAUUUGUGAAAGAAUUUUUUCUCCCCAAACGAGCGCCCCCCCAUGGCAGGAGAAAAAGUUAAGUUUUUCCUGCCCAUCGCCCAAUGGCUCAAACGCAUCGCUCUCUCGGCAAAACCGAAAGGAGGAGCAACUUGCCAUUUGGAUAUAUUGAAGCUGUGUUUGUGCCCUCACUCAUGGUCCAGACUUUUUUCAAAAAGGACAUGGAGUUUGUCUGCAGCGAGCGUUUUGGUAGAAACUGCGCCUCCCAUUCAUUAUAAUGGUAAAUGACCACAGACAAGUGCGCACACCAUCUUUGGACCUUGAGUGUGACUCGAUCGGGAGGGGGAGGGGGUCGCGCUGGGGGCAGCACGACACGGCUCGGGCCCGCCAGUGCCCCAGCGGGGCCCUAGUUAUUUUUCUGCCCCUUUGAACUGGAAAAUGGCCCACUUCCCACUGGUGAAAAGUCAUGAAAUUUGGCAGGACGACCGGGCCUGGUGAAAAAUUCGAUAUUCUGAAGUCGCCCAAAAAAUCAAAUGCAAAAUGGCUCCAUAACGCCCCCUAAGGUGAAAAAUUCACAUGAUUGAGUGUCACGCCUGUACGCUUUGUCAAAAUGACACAAAAUUUGACACACACGUGUAUCUCAAUAAGAUCUACAAAAAAGUCAGUGCGGGCGUAUCUGUCAAAUGUACGGUUAAAGGGCUAUUUCGCAUUUUUUGCCGAUCCGCACACAUUGGAAUUUCGCUAACUCCUCCGAAGGCUUUCGUUCCACCGGCACCAAAUUUGCUCAGGCCAAUCUACACCCCAUGGCCAUUAAAAGUUGUACAAAUCAUGACGCUGCAUCCCACGGUUUACGUUCUAGGGGGCGCCAAAGAUAAACCAGAAAUCCACAUUCUUAAAAGUCGUAUAACUUUUUAUUUUUGUCCUCACUGGCCUCCAAGUUUUCUAGGAUGAUGCAAUGUCUAGCCAUCAACACAUUUGUGAAGGAAUUUUUACUCCCCAAAGGAGCGCCCCCCCAUGGCAGGAGAAAAAAGUCCAGUUUUUCUUCCCCCUAAGGUGAAAAUUCACAUUAUUGAGUGUCACGCCUGUACGCUUUGUCAUAUUGAAACAAACUUUGACAAUCACGUGUUUCUCAAUAAGGUCUACGAAAUAGUCAAUGGCCGCGUAUCUGUAUAAUGUACGGUUAAAGGGCUAUUUCGCAUUUUUGGUCGAUCCGCACACAUUGGAAUGUGGCUAACUCCUCCUAAAUCUUUCGUUCCACUGACACCAAAUUUACUCAGGCCAAUCUACACCCCAUGGCCAUUCAAAGUUGUAAAAAUCAUGACGCUGCACCCCACGGUUUAUGUUCUAGGGGGCGCCAAAGAUAACCCAAAAAUCCACAUUCUUAAAAGUCUUAUAACUUUUUAUUUUUGUCCUCACUGGCCUCCAAGUUUUCUAGGAUGAUGCAAUGUCUAGCCAUCAACACAUUUGUGAAGGAAUUUUUACUCCCUAAAAGAGCGCCCCCCAUGGCAGGAGAAAAAGUCAAGUUUUUCCUGCCCAUCGCUCAAUGACUCAAACACAUCGCUCUCUCGGCAAAACCGAAAGGAGGAGCAACUUGCCAUUUGGAUAUAUCCUAGCUGUGUUUGUGCCCUCACUCAUGGUCCAGUCCUUUUCAAAUAGGACAUGUAGUUUGUCUGCGGCGAGCGUUUUGGUAGAAACUGCGCCUCCCAUUCAUUAUAAUUGUAAAUGACCACAGACAAGUGCGCACACCAUCUUUGGACCUUGAGUGUGACGCGAUCGGUAGGGAGAGGCGGUCGUGUUGGGGGCGGCGCGACACGGCUCGGGCCCGCCAGUGCCCCAACUGGGCCCUAGUUCUUUCUUUCUUUCUUCGUUUUCCUCCCCUUUGAACUGGAAAAUGGCCCACUUCCCACUGGCAAAAACUCAUGAAAUUUGGCAGGACGACCGGGCCUGGUGAAAAAUUCGAUAUUCUGAAGUCGCCCAAACAAUAAAAUGCAAAAUGGCUCCAUAGCGCCCCCUAAGGUGGAAAUUCACACUAUUGACUGUCACGCCUGUACGCUUUGUCAUAUUGACACAAAAAUUGACACACAUAUGUAUCUCAAUAAGAUCUACAAAAAAGUCAGUGCGGCCGUAUCUGUCAAAUGUACGGUUAAAGGGUUAUUUCGCAUUUUUUUCCGAUCCGCACACAUUGGAAUUUCGCUAACUCCUCCGAAGGCUUUCGUUCCACCGGCACCACAUUUGCUCAGGCCAAUCUACACCCCGUGGCCAUUAAAAGUUAUCAAAAUCAUGACGCUGCACCCCAAGGUUUAGGUUCUAGGGGGCGCCAAAGAUAACACUAAAAUCCACAUAUUUAAAAGUCUUAUAACUUUUUAUUUUUGUCCUCACUGGCCUCCAAGUUUUCUAGGAUGAUGCAAUGUCCAGCCAUCAACACAUUUGUGAAGGAAUUUUUACUCCCCAAAAGAGCGCCCCCCCAUGGCAGGAGAAAAAAGUCCAUUUUUUCUUGUCCCCUAAGGUGAAAAUACACAUUGUUGAGUGUCACGCCUAUACGCUUUGUCAAAAUGACACAAAAAUUGACACACACAUGUAACUCAAUAAGAUCUACGAAAAAGUCAAUGCGCGCGUAUCUGUCAAAUGUACGGUUAAAGGGCUAUUUCGCAUUUUUUGCCAAUUCGCACACAUUGGAUUGUGGCUAACUCCUCCUAAAGCUUUCGUCCCAUCGGCACCAAAUUUGCUCAGGCCAAUCUACACCCCAUGGCCAUUAAAAGUUAUUCAAAUCAUGACGCUGCACCCCACGGUUUAGGUUCUAGGGGGCGCCAAAGACAACCCUAAAAUCCACAUAUUUAAAAGUCUUAUAACUUUUUAUUUUUGUCCUCACUGGCCUCCAAGUUUUCUAGGAUGAUGCAAUGUCCAGCCAUCAACACAUUUGUGAAGGAAUUUUUACUCCCCAAAAGAGCGCCCCCCCCAUGGCAGGAGAAAAAAGUCCAUUUUUUCUUGUCCCCUAAGGUGAAAAUACAUAUUGUUGAGAUUCACGCCUAUACGCUUUGUCAUAUUGACACAAAAUUUGACAAUCACGUGCCUUGCCUGGUAUCAUUUUUUUUCAGCACAACCUCACCUGUGCGAAUUUACAGUUAUUUUAUCAUGUUGACAUACUGAAUUUACACAAUGGACCCAAAUUCACACACAAAACAUAAAAUCCGAGUGGAAAAAAGUAACAUUUUUACUGUGAAAACCACAAAUAUGUGUGAUGAACUGUUUUUAAAACUUAAACUUCAAAUAAAAAUUGUGAACUUCAAAACAUAUGCAAAUUUUUAACAAAGAACAUAGUGAUUUACCUCUAUUUACAUCAAAAUGCAGGCAAUGGCCCAGGCGUUCUUUGUAAAAUUAUUUACAAAACACUGUAUAGUCUCACAAAUGUCACUUUUUAUUUAUGCCACUACAAAAAAACAUGAUGUAAAUGAUGCAUGAUGUAAAACAUGAUGUAAAAAACUUGUGUAGAUCCUCCUCUAUGUCAGUCCAUGUGUAAUUUUUCCAUAAUUCUUUGUUUUUUGCAGCAUUUUUGUUAGUGUAACUGCAGAUUGUGCUGACAGUGUCUAUGGCACAAAAAAAAAAAAACUAAAAUGCCUCAACAUGAACCCCUGGUGGUCUCUGAGGGUGAAACCUGCUAACUGCUGCAGCUCUGUCAGCUUCAGUCUCCCAUGCAGAGCUCUGAGCGCAUGUGUGGCUCUGCACCCUUAGCAGCGUUGCUAACUCCUCAGUAAGGAAAGCCUGCUUCAUGUCAGAGUCUCUAAACUCCAGAAGAAGUCGAUAAAAGUCCCUUUCUUUCUAAAAAAAAGUCGUUAGGGGGUCUGAAAAGUCAUUGAAUCUAACAACAAAGUCGCUAGGUUUGCAACUACGUGUCCCAGACUGCAUCCCUGCUGAGAGUCCCUCCCUCCCUUCUCAUGUUGCAGGAAGAACGUAAGCGCCCGCCCCUUGUCAAUCAGUCACCAUAUAAUUUUGGAUUGGUUGUUGUGGUGAAGUUUUCCACCAAUAGGAGAGAUGUUGUGGUGUGUUUUUUUUUUCUUUGGCAAGCCUUUUCCGCCUGUAAGACCUGUCGCUAAUGUCUGCAUGCUAUGUUUUCCUGUCUCAUACAGCGCGAUCGAGCGCCGAACGUGAUCAAAAUAAGCAGAAAAAAGUAUCGCGGACAUAAUUUAUCAUAACUCUGGUUUUAUUUGGCCUAUCAACACAAUUUAAAAACUGGUAUAUAGGUUGAGGUCCUCACUUUUGAGAUAAGUUGAAACGGAGAGUCAACGAGGCUCCGUCUUGCAGCUACAUCCGGUUAAAUAUGUCAUGUGACUUGAACGCACACACAGACACACACACACGCACACACACACACACACACACACACACACACACACACACACACACACUCAGAGUCUGGUUUUUAGCACCUGCAAAAACAUGCUAUUUACAUAUUUGACAAGAAUGCAGAGGCUCCUUUUGCCCCUGAAAAAAAUCAAAUUUCAAACACAACUUGACUGGUCAUUUCUCCAAAAGACAACCAUGAAGCUCCAUCCAAACCUGAAGCAGGCAGUUGGUGCAUGUGUACAGUAACCUGAGGGGAGUGAGGUGAGUGCUUCUGAGGAGAACAUGAGCAGUGAAGAUUCACCUUGGAGCUAGAACAGAGACAUGCACAUGAUUAUACAGGGGCAGGGGCUCAAGUUUUUUCCAGUCGUUUAUACAAUAUGGAAAUUAAUGUGAAAUUAAAACACAAAGUAUUAAUAGAAAGGUAAUGACUGUCCUGUGUAGGUGACAGUGAUAUCGAAUAGGCUAGGCACUCACGAGGCCGGCUGUGGCAAGUGUUAGUGAAAGCAACACGCACUGGCAGGAAGAACAGCAAACGCCGAUGAAGGAAAAGGGUCUUUGCAGUGAUGGGCGUUACUAGAGAGGGCGAUGGCCAGAGGACACAAAUGGGACGGGGAGGCAGCGCGUUGGGGGGGCGACACAGCUCGGGCCCGCCAGUGCCCCAACGGGGUCCUAGUUCUUUGUUUCUUUCUUUCUUUCUUUAGGGCCCGCCGUAGCUGCUGCAGCUGCGAGAGCCCUCUUGUUCCUGUAGUCCUUCUUUGUUAUUAUUAUUAGGGCCCGAGCGUAGCUGCUAAGCAGCUGCGAGAGCCCUCUUGUUCCUGUAGUUUCCUUCUUUUGUUAUUAUUAUUAUUUUUCCUCCCCUUUGAACUGGAAAAUGGCCCACUUCCCACUGGCGAAAACUCAUGAAAUUUGGCAGGACGACCGGGCCUGGUGAAAAAUUUGAUAUUCCGAAGUCGCCCAAACAAGAAAAUGCAAAAUGGCUCCAUAGCGCCCCCUAAGGUGAAAAUUCACACUAUUCACUGUCACGCCGGUACGCUUUGUCAAAAUGACACAAAAAUUGACACACACAUGUAUCUCAAUAAGAUCUACAAAAAAGUCAGUGCGGGCGUAUCUGUCAAAUGUACGGUUAAAGGGUUAUUUCGCAUUUUUUGCCGAUCCGCACACAUUGGAAUUUCGCUAACUCCUCCGAAGGCUUUCGUUCCACCGGCACCACAUUUGCUCAGGCCAAUCUACACCCCAUGGCCAUUAAAAGUUAUUCAAAUCAUGACGCUGCACCCCACGGUUUAGGUUCUAGGGGGCGCCAAAGAUAACCCUAAGAUCCACAUAUUUAAAAGUCUUAUAACUUUUUAUUUUUGCCCUCACUGGCCUCCAAGUUUUCUAGGAUGAUGCAAUGUCCAGCCAUCAACACAUUUGUGAAGGAAUUUUUACUCGCCAAAAGAGCGCCCCCCCAUGGCAGGAGAAAAAAGUCCAUUUUUUCUUGUCUCCUAAGGCGAAAAUACACAUUGUUGACUGUCACGCCUUUACGCUUUGUCAAAAUGACACAAAAUUUGACACACACAUGUAUCUCAAUAAGAUCUACGAAAAAGUCAAUGCGAGCGUAUCUGUUCAAUGUACGGUUAAAGGGCUAUUUCGCAUUUUUUGCCGAUUCGCACACAUUGGAAUGUGGCUAACUCCUCCUAAAGCUUUUGUCCCAUCGGCUUCAAAUUUGGUCAGGUCAAUCUACACCCCAUGGCCAUUCAAAGUUGUACAAAUCAUGACGCUGCACCCCACGGUUUACGUUCUAGGGGGCGCCAAAGAUGACCCAAAUAUACAUUACAGUAGACAAAGUAGUUUUGCCCACUGAGUGGCGCCAAAGGGACUUGUCUGUGGAGUCUGUGAGUCACUAUUGGCCGUUUUUGACUACUUUAGAUUUUACCUUUAUAUUCCCUCUUACAAAAUUUUUACCUUGCCUUGCCUGGUAUCAUUUUUUUCAGCACAAACUCACCUGUGUGAAUUUACAGUUAUUUUAUCAUUUUGACAUACUGUAUUUACACAAUGGACCCAAAUUCACACACAAAACAUAAAAUCCGAGUGGAAAAAAGUAACAUUUUUACUCUGAAAACCACAAAUAUGUGUGAUGAACUGUUUUUAAAACUUAAACUUCAAAUAAAAAUUGUAAACUUCAAAACAUAUGCAAAUUUUUAACAAAGAACAUAGUAAUUUACCCCUAUUUACAUCAAAAUGCAGGCAAUGGCCCAGGCGUUCUUUGUAAAAUUAUUUACAAAACACUGUAUAGUCUCACAAAUGUCACUUUUUAUUUAUGCCACUACAAAAAAACAUGAUGUAAAUGAUGCAUGAUGUAAAACAUGAUGUAAAAAACUUGUGUAGAUCCUCCUCUAUGUCAGUCCAUGUGUAAUUUUUCCAUAAUUCUUUGUUUUUUGCAGCAUUUUUGUUAGUGUAACUGCAGAUUGUGCUGACAGUGUCUAUGGCAAAAAAAAAAAAAAAACUGAAAAUGCCUCAACAUGAACCCCUGGUGGUCUCUGAGGGUGAAACCUGCUAACUGCUGCAGCUCUGUCAGCUUCAGUCUCCCAAGCAGAGCUCGGAGCGCAUGUGUGGCUCUGCACCCUUAGCAGCGUUGCCAACUCCUCAGUAAGGAAAGCCUGCUUCAUGUCAGAGUCUCUAAACUCCAGAAGAAGUCGAUAAAAUUCCCUUUCUUUCUAAAAAAAAAGUCGUUGGGGGUCUGAAAAGUCAUUGAAUCUAACAACAAAGUCGCUAGGUUUGCAACUACGUGUCCCAGACUGCAUCCCUGCUGAGAGUCCCUCCCUCCCUUCUCAUAUUGCAGGAAGAACGUAAGCGCCCGCCCCUUGUCAAUCAGUCACCAUAUAAUUUUGGAUUGGUUGUUGUGGUGAAGUUUUCCACCAAUAGGAGAGAUGUUGUGGUGUGUUGUUUUUUUUCUUUUGGCAAGCCUUUUCCGCCUGUAAGACCUGUCGCUAAUGUCUGCAUGCUAUGUUUUCCUGUCUCAUACAGCGCGAUCGAGCGCCGAACGUGAUCAAAAUAAGCAGAAAAAAAGUAUCGCGGACAUAAUUUAUCAUAACUCUGGUUUUAUUUGGCCUAUCAACACAAUUUAAAAACUGGUAUAUAGGUUGAGGUCCUCACUUUUGAGAUAAGUUGAAACGGAGAGUCAACGAGGCUCCGUCUUGCAGCUACAUCCGGUUAAAUAUGUCAUGUGACUUGAACGCACACACAGACACACACACACGCACACACACACACACACACACACACACACACACACACACACACACACACACUCAGAGUCUGGUUUUUAGCACCUGCAAAAACAUGCUAUUUACAUAUUUGACAAGAAUGCAGAGGCUCCUUUUGCCCCUGAAAAAAAUCAAAUUUCAAACACAACUUGACUGGUCAUUUCUCCAAAAGACAACCAUGAAGCUCCAUCCAAACCUGAAGCAGGCAGUUGGUGCAUGUGUACAGUAACCUGAGGGGAGUGAGGUGAGUGCUUCUGAGGAGAACAUGAGCAGUGAAGAUUCACCUUGGAGCUAGAACAGAGACAUGCACAUGAUUAUACAGGGGCAGGGGCUCAAGUUUUUUCCAGUCGUUUAUACAAUAUGGAAAUUAAUGUGAAAUUAAAACACAAAGUAUUAAUAGAAAGGUAAUAACUGUCCUGUGAAGGUGACAGUGAUAUCGAAUAGGCUAGGCACUCACGAGGCUGGCUGUGGCAAGUGUAAGUGAAAGCAACACGCACUGGCAGGAAGAACAGCAAACGCCGAUGAAGGAAAAGGGUCUUUGCAGUGAUGGGCGUUACCAGAGAGGGCGAUGGCCAGAGGACACAAGUGGGACGGGGAGGCAGCACGUUGGGGGGGGGGGGGGGCGACACGGCUCGGGCCCGCCAGUGCCCCAACGGGGUCCUAGUUAGGGCCCGAGCGUAGCUGCUAAGCAGCUGCGAGAGCCCUCUUGUUCCUGUAGUUUCCUUCUUUUGUUAUUAUUAUUAUUAUUUUUCCUCCCCUUUGAACUGGAAAAUGGCCCACUUCCCACUGGCGAAAACUCAUGAAAUUUGGCAGGACGACCAGGCCUGGUGAAAAAUUUGAUAUUCCGAAGUCGCCCAAACAAGAAAAUGCAAAAUGGCUCCAUAGCGCCCCCUAAGGUGAAAAUUCACACUAUUCACUGUCACGCCGGUACGCUUUGUCAAAAUGACACAUAAAUUGACACACACAUGUAUCUCAAUAAGAUCUACAAAAAAGUCAGUGUGGGCGUAUCUGUCAAAUGUACGGUUAAAGGGUUAUUUCGCAUUUUUUGCCGAUCCGCACACAUUGGAAUUUCGCUAACUCCUCCGAAGGCUUUCGUUCCACCGGCACCACAUUUGCUCAGGCCAAUCUACACCCCAUGGCCAUUAAAAGUUAUUCAAAUCAUGACGCUGCACCCCACGGUUUAGGUUCUAGGGGGCGCCAAAGAUAACCCUAAGAUCCACAUAUUUAAAAGUCUUAUAACUUUUUAUUUUUGCCCUCACUGGCCUCCAAGUUUUCUAGGAUGAUGCAAUGUCCAGCCAUCAACACAUUUGUGAAGGAAUUUUUACUCCCCAAAAGAGCGCCCCCCCAUGGCAGGAGAAAAAAGUCAAUUUUUUCUUGUCCCCUAAGGUGAAAAUACACAUUGUUGAGUGUAACACCUGUACGCUUUGGCAAAAUGACACAAAAAUUGACACACACAUGUAUCUCAAUAAGAUCUACGAAAAAGUCAAUGCGCGCGUAUCUGUCAAAUGUACGGUUAAAGGGUUAUUCCGCAUUUUUUGCCGAUCCGCACACAUUGGAAUGUGGCUAACUCCUCCUAAGGCUUUCGUUCCACCGGCACCACAUUUGCUCAGGCCAAUCUACACCCCGUGGCCAUUAAAAGUUAUCAAAAUCAUGACGCUGCACCCCAAGGUUUAGGUUCUAGGGGGCGCCAAAGAUAACACUAAAAUCCACAUAUUUAAAAGUCUUAUAACUUUUUAUUUUUGUCCUCACUGGCCUCCAAGUUUUCUAGGAUGAUGCAAUGUCCAGCCAUCAACACAUUUGUGAAGGAAUUUUUACUCCCCAAAAGAGCGCCCCCCCAUGGCAGGAGAAAAAAGUCCAUUUUUUCUUGUCCCCUAAGGUGAAAAUACACAUUGUUGAGUGUCACGCCUGUACGCUUUGUCAUAUUGACACAAAAUUUGACAAUCACGUGUGUCUCAAUAACAUCUACGAAAAAGUCAAUGCACGCGUAUCUGUCAAAUGUACGGUUAAAGGGCUAUUUUGCAUUUUUUGCCGAUUCGCACACAUUGGAAUGUGGCUAACUCCUCCUAAGGCUUUCAUCCCACUGACACCAAAUUUGCUCAGGCCAAUCUACACCCCAUGGCCAUUAAAAGUUGUAAAAAUCAUGACGGUGCACCCCACGGUUUACGUUCUAGGGGGCGCCAAAGAUGACCCAAAUAUCCACAUUCUUAAAAGAAUCCACAUCUCCCCCCCCCCCCCCAUCCCCCAUCCCCCAUGGCAGGAGAAACAGUCAAGUUUUUCCUGCCCAUCACUCAAUGGCUCAAUCGCAUCGCUCUCCCGGCAACACCGUAACGAGGAGCAACUUGCCGUUUGGAUAUAUCCUAGCUGUGUUUGUGCCCUCACUCAUGGUCCAGACUUUUUUCAAAUAGGAUAUGUAGUUUGUCUGCAGCGAGUGUUUUGGUAGAAACUGCGCCUCCCAUUCAUUAUAAUGGGAAAUGACCACAGACAAGUGCGCACACCAUCUUUGGACCUUGAGUGUGACGCGAUCGGGAGGGGGAGGUGGUCGCGCUGGGGGCGGCGCGACGCGGCUCGGGCCCGACAGUGCCCCACCGGGGCCCUAGUUCUUCUUUUUCCUCCCCUUUGAACUGGAAAAUGGCCCACUUCCCACUGGCGAAAACUCAUGAAAUUUGGCAGGACGACCGGGCCUGGUGAAAAAUUCGAUAUUCUGAAGUCGCCCAAACAAUAAAAUGCAAAAUGGCUCCAUAGCGCCCCCUAAGGUGGAAAUUCACACUAUUGACUGUCACGCCUGUACGCUUUGUCAUAUUGACACAAAAAUUGACACACAUAUGUAUCUCAAUAAGAUCUACAAAAAAGUCAGUGCGGCCGUAUCUGUCAAAUGUAUGGUCAAAGGGUUAUUUCGCAUUUUUUUCCGAUCCGCACACAUUGGAAUUUCGCUAACUCCUCCGAAGGCUUUCUUUCCACCGGCACCACAUUUGCUCAGGCCAAUCUACACCCCGUGGCCAUUAAAAGUUAUCAAAAUCAUGACGCUGCACCCCAAGGUUUAGGUUCUAGGGGGCGCCAAAGAUAACACCAAAAUCCACAUAUUUAAAAGUCUUAUAACUUUUUAUUUUUGUCCUCACUGGCCUCCAAGUUUUCUAGGAUGAUGCAAUGUCCAGCCAUCAACACAUUUGUGAAGGAAUUUUUACUCCCCAAAAGAGCGCCCCCCCAUGGCAGGAGAAAAAAGUCAAUUUUUUCUUGUCCCCUAAGGUGAAAAUACACAUUGUUGAGUGUCACGCCUAUACGCUUUGUCAAAAUGACACAAAAAUUGACACACACAUGUAACUCAAUAAGAUCUACGAAAAAGUCAAUGCGCGCGUAUCUGUCAAAUGUACGGUUAAAGGGUUAUUCCGCAUUUUUUGCCGAUCCGCACACAUUGGAAUGUGGCUAACUCCUCCUAAGGCUUUCGUUCCACCGGCACCACAUUUGCUCAGGCCAAUCUACACCCCAUGGCCAUUAAAAUUUAUCAAAAUCAUGACGCUGCACCCCACGGUUUAGGUUCUAGGGGGCGCCAAAGAUAACCCUAAAAUCCACAUAUUUAAAAGUCUUAUAACUUUUUAUUUUUGUCCUCACUGGCCUCCAAGUUUUCUAGGAUGAUGCAAUGUCCAGCCAUCAACACAUUUGUGAAGGAAUUUUAACUCCCCAAAAGAGCGCCCCCCCAUGGCAGGAGAAAAAAGUCCAUUUUUUCUUGUCCCUUAAGGUGAAAAUACAUAUUGUUGAGAUUCACGCCUAUACGCUUUGUCAUAUUGACACAAAAUUUGACAAUCACGUGCCUUGCCUGGUAUCAUUUUUUUCAGCACAACCUCACCUGUGCGAAUUUACAGUUAUUUUAUCAUGUUGACAUACUGAAUUUACACAAUGGACCCAAAUUCACACACAAAACAUAAAAUCCGAGUGGAAAAAAGUAACAUUUUUACUGUGAAAACCACAAAUAUGUGUGAUGAACUGUUUUCAAAACUUAAACUUCAAAUAAAAAUUGUAAACUUCAAAACAUAUGCAAAUUUUUAACAAAGAACAUAGUGAUUUACCUCUAUUUACAUCAAAAUGCAGGCAAUGGCCCAGGCGUUCUUUGUAAAAUUAUUUACAAAACACUGUAUAGUCUCACAAAUGUCACUUUUUAUUUAUGCCACUACAAAAAAACAUGAUGUAAAUGAUGCAUGAUGUAAAACAUGAUGUAAAAAACUUGUGUAGAUCCUCCUCUAUGUCAGUCCAUGUGUAAUUUUUCCAUAAUUCUUUGUUUUUUGCAGCAUUUUUGUUAGUGUAACUGCAGAUUGUGCUGACAGUGUCUAUGGCACAAAAAAAAGAAAAAAUUAAAAUGCCUCAACAUGAACCCCUGGUGGUCUCUGAGGGUGAAACCUGCUAACUGCUGCAGCUCUGUCAGCUUCAGUCUCCCAUGCAGAGCUCUGAGCGCAUGUGUGGCUCUGCACCCUUAGCAGCGUUGCUAACUCCUCAGUAAGGAAAGCCUGCUUCAUGUCAGAGUCUCUAAACUCCAGAAGAAGUCGAUAAAAGUCACUUUCUUUCUAAAAAAAAGUCGUUAGGGGGUCUGAAAAGUCAUUGAAUCUAACAACAAAGUCGCUAGGUUUGCAACUACGUGUCCCAGACUGCAUCCCUGCUGAGAGUCCCUCCCUCCCUUCUCAUGUUGCAGGAAGAACGUAAGCGCCCGCCCCUUGUCAAUCAGUCACCAUAUAAUUUUGGAUUGGUUGUUGUGGUGAAGUUUUCCACCAAUAGGAGAGAUGUUGUGGUGUGUUUUUUUUUUCUUUUGGCAAGCCUUUUCCGCCUGUAAGACCUGUCGCUAAUGUCUGCAUGCUAUGUUUUCCUGUCUCAUACAGCGCGAUCGAGCGCCGAACGUGAUCAAAAUAAGCAGAAAAAAAGUAUCGCGGACAUAAUUUAUCAUAACUCUGGUUUUAUUUGGCCUAUCAACACAAUUUAAAAACUGGUAUAUAGGUUGAGGUCCUCACUUUUGAAAUAAGUUGAAACGGAGAGUCAACGAGGCUCCGUCUUGCAGCUACAUCCGGUUAAAUAUGUCAUGUGACUUGAACGCACACACAGACACACACACACGCACACACACACACACACACACACACACACACACACACACACACAGAGUCUGGUUUUUAGCACCUGCAAAAACAUGCUAUAUACAUAUUUGACAAGAAUGCAGAGGCUCCUUUUGCCCCUGAAAAAAAUCAAAUUUCAAACACAACUUGACUGGUCAUUUCUCCAAAAGACAACCAUGAAGCUCCAUCCAAACCUGAAGCAGGCAGUUGGUGCAUGUGUACAGUAACCUGAGGGGAGUGAGGUGAGUGCUUCUGAGGAGAACAUGAGCAGUGAAGAUUCACCUUGGAGCUAGAACAGAGACAUGCACAUGAUUAUACAGGGGCAGGGGCUCAAGUUUUUUCCAGUCGUUUAUACAAUAUGGAAAUUAAUGUGAAAUUAAAACACAAAGUAUUAAUAGAAAGGUAAUGACUGUCCUGUGUAGGUGACAGUGAUAUCCAAUAGGCUAGGCACUCACGAGGCUGGCUGUGGCAAGUGUAAGUGAAAGCAACACGCACUGGCAAGAAGAACAGCAAACGCCGAUGAAGGAAAAGGGUCUUUGCAGUGAUGGGCGUUACCAGAGAGGGCGAUGGCCAGAGGACACAAAUGGGACGGGGAGGCAGCACGUUGGGGGGGGACGCGACAUGGCUCGGGCCCGCCAGUGCCCCAACGGGGUCCUAGUUAGGGCCCGAGCGUAGCUGCUAAGCAGCUGCGAGGCCCUAUUAUUCCUGUAGUGGUUUUUCUUUGUUUCUUUUUUCUUUUUCCUCCCCUUUGAACUGGAAAAUGGCCCACUUCCCACUGGCGAAAACUCAUGAAAUUUGGCAGGAUGACCGGGCCUGGUGAAAAAUUUGAUAUUCCGAAGUCGCCCAAACAAUAAAAUGCAAAAUGGCUCCAUAGCGCCCCCUAAGGUGAAAAUUCACACUAUUGACUGUCACGCCUUUACGCUUUGUCAAAAUGACACAAAAAUUGACACACACAUGUAUCUCAAUAAGAUCUACAAAAAAGUCAGUGCGGGCGUAUCUGUCAAAUGUACGGUUAAAGGGUUAUUGCGCAUUUUUUGCCGAUCCGCACACAUUGGAAUUUCGCUAACUCCUCCGAAGGCUUUUGUUCCACCGGCACCACAUUUGCUCAGGCCAAUCUACACCCCAUGGCCAUUAAAAGUUAUUCAAAUCAUGACGCUGCACCCCACGGUUUAGGUUCUAGGGGGCGCCAAAGAUAACCCUAAAAUCCACAUAUUUAAAAGUCUUAUAACUUUUUAUUUUUGCCCUCACUGGCCUCCAAGUUUUCUAGGAUGAUGCAAUGUCCAGCCAUCAACACAUUUGUGAAGGAAUUUUUACUCCCCAAAAGAGCGCCCCCCCAUGGCAGGAGAAAAAAGUCCAUUUUUUCUUGUCCCAUAAGGUGAAAAUUCACACUAUUGACUGUCACGCCUGUACGCUUUGUCAAAAUUACACAAAAAUUGACACACACAUGUAUCUCAAUAAGAUCUACAAAAAAGUCAGUGCGGGCGUAUCUGUCAAAUGUACGGUUAAAGGGUUAUUUCGCAUUUUUUGCCGAUCCGCACACAUUGGAAUUUCGCUAACUCCUCCGAAGGCUUUCGUUCCACCGGCACCACAUUUGCUCAGGCCAAUCUACACCCCAUGGCCAUUAAAAGUUAUUCAAAUCAUGACGCUGCACCCCACGGUUUAGGUUCUAGGGGGCGCCAAAGAUAACCCUAAAAUCCACAUAUUUCAAAGUCUUAUAACUUUUUAUUUUUGCCCUCACUGGCCUCCAAGUUUUCUAGGAUGAUGCAAUGUCCAGCCAUCAACACAUUUGUGAAGGAAUUUUUACUCCCCAAAAGAGCGCCCCCCAUGGCAGGAGAAAAAAGUCCAUUUUUUCUUGUCCCCUAAGGUGAAAAUACACAUUGUUGAGUGUCACGCCUGUACGCUUUGUCAAAAUGACACAAAAAUUGACACACACAUGUAUCUCAAUAAGAUCUACAAAAAAGUCCAUGCGCGCGUAUCUGUCAAAUGUACGGUUAAAGGGUUAUUCCGCAUUUUUUGCCGAUUCGCACACAUUGGAAUUUCGCUAACUCCUCCGAAGGCUUUUGUUCCACCGGCACCACAUUUGCUCAGGCCAAUCUACACCCCAUGGCCAUUAAAAGUUAUUCAAAUCAUGACGCUGCACCCCACGGUUUACGUUCUAGGGGGCGCCAAAGAUAACCCAAAAAUCCACAUUUUUAAAAGUCUUAUAACAUUUUAUUUUUGUCCUCACUGGCCUCCAAGUUUUCUAGGAUGAUGCAAUGUCCAGCCAUCAACACAUUUGUGAAGGAAUUUUUACUCCCUAAAAGAGCGCCCCCCCAUGGCAGGAGAAAAAAGUCCAUUUUUUCUUGUCCCCUAAGGUGAAAAUACACAUUGUUGACUGUCACGCCUGUACGCUUUGGCAAAAUGACACAAAAAUUGACAAUCAUGUGUAUCUCAAUUAGAUCUACGAAAAAGUCAAAGAGCGCGUAUCUGUAUAAUGUACGGUAAAAGGGCUAUUUUGCAUUUUUUGCCGAUUCGCACACAUUGGAAUUUCGCUAACUCCUCCUAAGGCUUUCGUCCCACUGACACCAAAUUUGCUCAGGCCAAUCUACACUCCAUGGCCAUUCAAAGUUGUAAAAAUCAUGACGCUGCACCCCACGGUUUACGUUUUAGGGGGUGCCAAAGAUGACCCAAAUAUACAUUACAGUAGACAAAGUAGUUUUGCCCACUGAGUGGCGCCAAAGGGACUUGUCUGUGGAGUCUGUGAGUCACUAUUGGCCGUUUUUGACUACUUUAGAUUUUACCUUUAUAUUUCCUCUUACAAAAGUUUUACCUUGCCUUGCCUGGUAUCAUUUUUUUCAGCACAACCUCACCUGUGUCAAUUUACAGUUAUUUUAUCAUUUUGACAUACUAUAUUUACACAUUGGACCCAAAUUCACACACAAAACAUAAAAUCCGAGUGGAAAAAAGUAACAUUUUUACUGUGAAAACCACAAAUAUGUGUGAUGAACUGUUUUUAAAACUUAAACUUCAAAUAAAAAUUGUAAACUUCAAAACAUAUGCAAAUUUUUAACAAAGAACAUAGUAAUUUACCUCUAUUUACAUCAAAAUGCAGGCAAUGGCCCAGGUGUUCUUUGUAAAAUUAUUUACAAAACACUGUAUAGUCUCACAAAUGUCACUUUUUAUUUAUGCCACUACAAAAAAACAUGAUGUAAAUGAUGCAUGAUGUAAAACAUGAUGUAAAAAACUUGUGUAUAUCCUCCUCUAUGUUAGUCCAUGUGUAAUUUUUCCAUAAUUCUUUGUUUUGUCCAGCAUUUUUGUUAGUGUAACUGCAGAUUGUGCUGACAGUGUCUAUGGCAAAAAAAAAAAAAAAACUGAAAAUGCCUCAACAUGAACCCCUGGUGGUCUCUGAGGGUGAAACCUGCUAACUGCUGCAGCUCUGUCAGCUUCAGUCUCCCAUGCAGAGCUCGGAGCGCAUGUGUGGCUCUGCACCCUUAGCAGCGUUGCUAACUCCUCAGUAAGGAAAGCCUGCUUCAUGUCAGAGUCUCUAAACUCCAGAAGAAGUCGAUAAAAGUCACUUUCUUUCUAAAAAAAAAGUCGUUAGGGGGUCUGAAAAGUCAUUGAAUCUAACAACAAAGUCGCUAGGUUUGCAACUACGUGUCCCAGACUGCAUCCCUGCUGAGAGUCCCUCCCUCCCUUCUCAUAUUGCAGGAAGAACGUAAGCGCCCGCCCCUUGUCAAUCAGUCACCAUAUAAUUUUGGAUUGGUUGUUGUGGUGAAGUUUUCCACCAAUAGGAGAGAUGUUGUGGUGUGUAUUUUUUUUCCUUUGGCAAGCCUUUUCCGCCUGUAAGACCUGUCGGUAAUGUCUGCAUGCUAUGUUUUCCUGUCUCAUACAGCGCGAUCGAGCGCCGAACGUGAUAAAAAUAAGCAGAAAACAAGUAUCGCGGACAUAAUUUAUCAUAACUCUGGUUUUAUUUGGCCUAUCAACACAAUUUAAAAACUGGUAUAUAGGUUGAGGUCCUCACUUUUGAGAUAAGUUGAAACGGAGUCAACGAGGCUCCGUCUUGCAGCUACAUCCGGUUAAAUAUGUCAUGUGACUUGAACGCACACACACACACACACACACACACACACACACACACACACACACACACACACACACACUCAGAGUCUGGUUUUUAGCACCUGCAAAAACAUGCUAUUUACAUAUUUGACAAGAAUGCAGAGGCUCCUUUUGCCCCUGAAAAAAAUCAAAUUUCAAACACAACUUGACUGCUCAUUUCUCCAAAAGACAACCAUGAAGCUCCAUCCAAACCUGAAGCAGGCAGUUGGUGCAUGUGUACAGUAACCUGAGGGGAGUGAGGUGAGUGCUUCUGAGGAGAACAUGAGCAGUGAAGAUUCACCUUGGAGCUAGAACAGAGACAUGCACAUGAUUAUACAGGGGCAGGGGCUCAAGUUUUUUCCAGUCGUUUAUACAAUAUGGAAAUUAAUGUGAAAUUAAAACACAAAGUAUUAAUAGAAAGGUAAUGACUGUCCUGUGUAGGUGACAGUGAUAUCGAAUAGGCUAGGCACUCACGAGGCUGGCUGUGGCAAGUGUAAGUGAAAGCAACACGCACUGGCAGGAAGAACAGCAAACGCCGAUGAAGGAAAAGGGUCUUUGCAGUGAUGGGCGUUACCAGAGAGGGCGAUGGCCAGAGGACACAAAUGGGACGGGGAGGCAGCGCGUUGGGGGGGGGACGCGACACAGCUCGGGCCCGCCAGUGCCCCAACGGGGUCCUAGUUCUUUCUUUCUUUCUUUCUUCUUUUUCCUCCCCUUUGAACUGGAAAAUGGCCCACUUCCCACUGGCGAAAACUCAUGAAAUUUGGCAGGACGACCGGGCCUGGUGAAAAAUUCGAUAUUCUGAAGUCGCCCAAACAAUAAAAUGCAAAAUGGCUCCAUAGCGCCCCCUAAGGUGGAAAUUCACACUAUUGACUGUCACGCCUGUACGCUUUGUCAUAUUGACACAAAAAUUGACACACAUAUGUAUCUCAAUAAGAUCUACAAAAAAGUCAGUGCGACCGUAUCUGUCAAAAUUACGGUUAAAGGGUUAUUUCGCAUUUUGUGCCGAUCCGCACACAUUGGAAUUUCGCUAACUCCUCCGAAGGCUUUCGUUCCACCGGCACCACAUUUGCUCAGGCCAAUCUACACCCCGUGGCCAUUAAAAGUUAUCAAAAUCAUGACGCUGCACCCCACGGUUUAGGUUCUAGGGGGCGCCAAAGAUAACACUAAAAUCCACAUAUUUAAAAGUCUUAUAACUUUUUAUUUUUGUCCUCACUGGCCUCCAAGUUUUCUAGGAUGAUGCAAUGUCCAGCCAUCAACACAUUUGUGAAGGAAUUUUUACUCCCCAAAAGAGCGCCCCCCAUGGCAGGAGAAAAAAGUCCAUUUUUUCUUGUCCCCUAAGGUGAAAAUACACAUUGUUGAGUGUCACGCCUAUACGCUUUGUCAAAAUGACACAAAAAUUGACACACACAUGUAUCUCAAUAAGAUCUACGAAAAAGUCAAUGCGCGCGUAUCUGUCAAAUGUACGGUUAAAGGGUUAUUCCGCAUUUUUUGCCGAUCCGCACACAUUGGAAUGUGGCUAACUCCUCCUAAGGCUUUCGUUCCACCGGCACCACAUUUGCUCAGGCCAAUCUACACCCCAUGGCCAUUAAAAGUUAUUCAAAUCAUGACGCUGCACCCCACGGUUAAGGUUCUAGGGGGCGCCAAAGACAACCCUAAAAUCCACAUAUUUAAAAGUCUUAUAACUUUUUAUUUUUGUCCUCACUGGCCUCCAAGUUUUCUAGGAUGAUGCAAUGUCCAGCCAUCAACACAUUUGUGAAGGAAUUUUUACUCCCCAAAAGAGCGCCCCCCCAUGGCAGGAGAAAAAAGUCCAUUUUUUCUUGUCCCCUAAGGUGAAAAUACAUAUUGUUGAGAUUCACGCCUAUACGCUUUGUCAUAAUGACACAAAAUUUGACAAUCACAUGUAUCUCAAUAAGAUCUACGAAAAAGUCAAUGCGCGCGUAUCUGUCAAAUGUACGGUUAAAGGGUUAUUCCGCAUUUUUUGCCGAUCCGCACACAUUGGAAUGUGGCUAACUCCUCCUAAGGCUUUCGUUCCACCGGCACCACAUUUGCUCAGGCCAAUCUACACCCCAUGGCCAUUAAAAGUUAUUCAAAUCAUGACGCUGCACCCCACGGUUAAGGUUCUAGGGGGCGCCAAAGACAACCCUAAAAUCCACAUAUUUAAAAGUCUUAUAACUUUUUAUUUUUGUCCUCACUGGCCUCCAAGUUUUCUAGGAUGAUGCAAUGUCCAGCCAUCAACACAUUUGUGAAGGAAUUUUUACUCCCCAAAAGAGCGCCCCCCCAUGGCAGGAGAAAAAAGUCCAUUUUUUCUUGUCCCCUAAGGUGAAAAUACAUAUUGUUGAGAUUCACGCCUAUACGCUUUGUCAUAAUGACACAAAAUUUGACAAUCACAUGCCUUGCCUGGUAUCAUUUUUUUUCAGCACAACCUCACCUGUGCGAAUUUACAGUUAUUUUAUCAUGUUGACAUACUGAAUUUACACAAUGGACCCAAAUUCACACACAAAACAUAAAAUCCGAGUGGAAAAAAGUAACAUUUUUACUGUGAAAACCACAAAUAUGUGUGAUGAACUGUUUUUAAAACUUAAACUUCAAAUAAAAAUUGUAAACUUCAAAACAUAUGCAAAUUUUUAAUAAAGAACAUAGUGAUUUACCUCUAUUUACAUCAAAAUGCAGGCAAUGGCCCAGGCGUUCUUUGUAAAAUUAUUUACAAAACACUGUAUAGUCUCACAAAUGUCACUUUUUAUUUAUGCCACUACAAAAAAACAUGAUGUAAAUGAUGCAUGAUGUAAAACAUGAUGUAAAAAACUUGUGUAGAUCCUCCUCUAUGUCAGUCCAUGUGUAAUUUUUCCAUAAUUCUUUGUUUUUUGCAGCAUUUUUGUUAGUGUAACUGCAGAUUGUGCUGACAGUGUCUAUGGCACACAAAAAAAAAAAUUAAAAUGCCUCAACAUGAACCCCUGGUGGUCUCUGAGGGUGAAACCUGCUAACUGCUGCAGCUCUGUCAGCUUCAGUCUCCCAUGCAGAGCUCUGAGCGCAUGUGUGGCUCUGCACCCUUAGCAGCGUUGCUAACUCCUCAGUAAGGAAAGCCUGCUUCAUGUCAGAGUCUCUAAACUCCAGAAGAAGUCGAUAAAAGUCCCUUUCUUUCUAAAAAAAAGUCGUUAGGGGGUCUGAAAAGUCAUUGAAUCUAACAACAAAGUCGCUAGGUUUGCAACUACGUGUCCCAGACUGCAUCCCUGCUGAGAGUCCCUCCCUCGCUUCUCAUGUUGCAGGAAGAACGUAAGCACCCGCCCCUUGUCAAUCAGUCACCAUAUAAUUUUGGAUUGGUUGUUGUGGUGAAGUUUUCCACCAAUAGGAGAGAUGUUGUGGUGUGUUUUUUUUUUUCUUUUGGCAAGCCUUUUCCGCCUGUAAGACCUGUCGCUAAUGUCUGCAUGCUAUGUUUUCCUGUCUCAUACAGCGCGAUCGAGCGCCGAACGUGAUCAAAAUAAGCAGAAAACAAGUAUCGCGGACAUAAUUUAUCAUAACUCUGGUUUUAUUUGGCCUAUCAACACAAUUUAAAAACUGGUAUAUAGGUUGAGGUCCUCACUUUUGAGAUAAGUUGAAACGGAGAGUCAACGAGGCUCCGUCUUGCAGCUACAUCCGGUUAAAUAUGUCAUGUGACUUGAACGCACACACAGACACACACACACGCACACACACACACACACAGACACACACACACACUCAGAGUCUGGUUUUUAGCACCUGCAAAAACAUGCUAUUUACAUAUUUGACAAGAAUGCAGAGGCUCCUUUUGCCCCUGAAAAAAAUCAAAUUUCAAACACAACUUGACUGGUCAUUUCUCCAAAAGACAACCAUGAAGCUCCAUCCAAACCUGAAGCAGGCAGUUGGUGCAUGUGUACAGUAACCUGAGGGGAGUGAGGUGAGUGCUUCUGAGGAGAACAUGAGCAGUGAAGAUUCACCUUGGAGCUAGAACAGAGACAUGCACAUGAUUAUACAGGGGCAGGGGCUCAAGUUUUUUCCAGUCGUUUAUACAAUAUGGAAAUUAAUGUGAAAUUAAAACACAAAGUAUUAAUAGAAAGGUAAUGACUGUCCUGUGUAGGUGACAGUGAUAUCCAAUAGGCUAGGCACUCACGAGGCUGGCUGUGGCAAGUGUAAGUGAAAGCAACACGCACUGGCAAGAAGAACAGCAAACGCCGAUGAAGGAAAAGGGUCUUUGCAGUGAUGGGCGUUACCAGAGAGGGCGAUGGCCAGAGGACACAAAUGGGACGGGGAGGCAGCACGUUGGGGGGGGGACGCGACAUGGCUCGGGCCCGCCAGUGCCCCAACGGGGUCCUAGUUAGGGCCCGAGCGUAGCUGCUAAGCAGCUGCGAGGCCCUAUUAUUCCUGUAGUGGUUUUUCUUUGUUUCUUUUUUCUUUUUCCUCCCCUUUGAACUGGAAAAUGGCCCACUUCCCACUGGCGAAAACUCAUGAAAUUUGGCAGGAUGACCGGGCCUGGUGAAAAAUUUGAUAUUCCGAAGUCGCCCAAACAAUAAAAUGCAAAAUGGCUCCAUAGCGCCCCCUAAGGUGAAAAUUCACACUAUUGACUGUCACGCCUUUACGCUUUGUCAAAAUGACACAAAAAUUGACACACACAUGUAUCUCAAUAAGAUCUACAAAAAAGUCAGUGCGGGCGUAUCUGUCAAAUGUACGGUUAAAGGGUUAUUGCGCAUUUUUUGCCGAUCCGCACACAUUGGAAUUUCGCUAACUCCUCCGAAGGCUUUUGUUCCACCGGCACCACAUUUGCUCAGGCCAAUCUACACCCCAUGGCCAUUAAAAGUUAUUCAAAUCAUGACGCUGCACCCCACGGUUUAGGUUCUAGGGGGCGCCAAAGAUAACCCUAAAAUCCACAUAUUUAAAAGUCUUAUAACUUUUUAUUUUUGCCCUCACUGGCCUCCAAGUUUUCUAGGAUGAUGCAAUGUCCAGCCAUCAACACAUUUGUG